GGGUCUAGUACAUGCCGAAAUAAGGCGAAACCGCGAAUGGCUCAUUAAAUCAGUUAUGGUUCCUUAGAUCGUUUCUUCCUACUUGGAUAACUGUGGCAAUUCUAGAGCUAAUACAUGCAGUGAGCCUGGAGCCCUUUGGGUAACGGGUGCUUUUAUUAGACCAAGAUCGAUCGGGUUUCGGCCCGUAUUGUGUGGUGACUCUGGAUAACUUUGUGCUGAUCGCAUGGCCACGAGCCGGCGACGUUUCUUUCAAGUGUCUGCCUUAUCAACUUUCGAUGGUAGGUUACUUGCUUACCAUGGUUGUUACGGGUAACGGAGAAUCAGGGUUCGAUUCCGGAGAGGGAGCCUGAGAAACGGCUACCACAUCCAAGGAAGGCAGCAGGCGCGCAAAUUACCCACUCCCGGCACGGGGAGGUAGUGACGAAAAAUAACAAUACGGGACUCUUUUGAGGCCCCGUAAUUGAAAUGAGUACACUCUAAAUCCUUUAACGAGGAUCAAUUGGAGGGCAAGUCUGGUCCCCAGCAGCCA
rnacentral:rRNA from 1 species